rnacentral:rRNA from 1 species
GACGAACGCUGGCGGCGUGCUUAACACAUGCAAGUCGAACGGAAAGGCCCUGCUUUUGUGGGGUGCUCGAGUGGCGAACGGGUGAGUAACACGUGAGUAACCUGCCCUUGACUUUGGGAUAACUUCAGGAAACUGGGGCUAAUACCGGAUAGGAGCUCCUGCUGCAUGGUGGGGGUUGGAAAGUUUCGGCGGUUGGGGAUGGACUCGCGGCUUAUCAGCUUGUUGGUGGGGUAGUGGCUUACCAAGGCUUUGACGGGUAGCCGGCCUGAGAGGGUGACCGGCCACAUUGGGACUGCGAUACGGCCCAGACUCCUACGGGAGGCAGCAGUGGGGAAUAUUGCACAAUGGGCGGAAGCCUGAUGCAGCAACGCCGCGUGCGGGAUGACGGCCUCCGGGUUGUAAACCGCUUUCGCCUGUGACGAAGCGUGAGUGACGGUAAUGGGUAAAGAAGCACCGGCUAACUACGUG